CCCUUCCCUCCGCCGCGAUUGGCCGCGUUCCAGCGCGCCUCGCCGCCAUUGGCCGCAGGCCGCGCGGGCCCCGCGGCGAUUGGCUCCGCCCCGCGUCAAUCACCGUGAGGGCGCCGCCGCCAUGGCCGCGUACCGGCUGCGGGUCCGCACCGGAGCCGCUCCCGGCGCCGGCACCAGCGACGCCAUCGCCGUGACGCUGCUGGGGAGCCGCGGCCGCAGCGCCAGGACCCCGCUGGACCGCUGGGGACCCGACUUCCACUGCGGCGCGAGGGUGUCGGUGGUGGCGGUGGCACGGUGGUGGUGGCACGGCGAGGUGACAGCGGUGGCGCGGUGACGGUGGCCUGGUGGCGGCGGUGGCAGCGACGCAGCAAAGGUGACAACGGUGACAACGGUGGCACAGCAGUGGUGGCACAGCCGUGGUGACACAGCAGUGGUGACAGCGGUGACACUGCAGCGGCAGUGGCUGCACAGCAAGGUGACAGGGACACGGUGACGUCCCCGAUGUGCCCGCACAGGUGACAGAGCACCAGGUGACAGAGUACCAGGUGUGCGUGCCCCGCCCCCUGGGCCGCCUCCUCCUGUUCCAGGUGCACA